AGUAUGAACAAGGUAAAUUUAACCAAUGUAACGAAACCAUAAAACAGUUGAACACAAACAGAAUGCUAAUUAUGCUGAAGAUAACAAAAGAUAUUAAAACAAAAUUAACUCAACCUGCUGAAUCAUAUCCUCUAUAUUCAAGUCGGUGAAGUCCGUUUACUAAUACGUCCAAAAUAUACUUUCUAUUUCGUGGCACGUUAUAGUUAAGGUACUGCAACAAGAAGCGACAAAAAAUCAUUAGUACUCUAUGUAAGUUGAAUUUACAACUACGUGAGUUGCAAGACACAAUUAUUUAAAGCUUUCCUGAUAAUGAUUAUCGACACCAAUUUUGCCCUAGAAAUACAACUAAAUCAUGGUGUAAGUACUAAAAUAAUAGCAAGAAAAAUAUAAAUUCAUCUAUGUCAAUUUCAC